rnacentral:rRNA from 1 species
CUACGGGAUGCAGCAGUGGGGAAUAUUGGACAAUGGGGGAAACCCUGAUCCAGCAAUGCCGCGUGUGUGAAGAAGGCCUGCGGGUUGUAAAGCACUUUCGGUUGGGAGGACUGCUUCUAGCACUAAUAUUGUUGGAAGUUGACGUUACCUUCAGAAGAAGCACCGGCUAACUCCGUGCCAGCAGCCGCGGUGAAUACGGAGGGUGCAAGCGUUAAUCGGAAUUACUGGGCGUAAAGCGCGCGUAGGCGGCUAGUUCAGUCGGGUGUGAAAGCCCCGGGCUUAACCUGGGAACUGCAUCCGAUACUGUCUAGCUUGAGUACAGGAGAGGAGAGUGGAAUUCCACAUGUAGCGGUGAAAUGCGUAGAUAUGUGGAGGAACACCAAUGGCGAAGGCAGCUCUCUGGCCUGAUACUGACGCUGAGGUGCGAAAGCGUGGGGAGCAAACAGGAUUAGAUACCCUAGUAGUC